CCAGAGAAUUUAGCAGAGAUGCUUUAGUGCCUUCGGGAACUCUGAGACAGGUGCUGCAUGGCUGUCGUCAGCUCGUGUUGUGAAAUGUUGGGUUAAGUCCCGCAACGAGCGCAACCCUUAUCCUUUGUUGCCAGCACGUAAUGGUGGGAACUCAAAGGAGACUGCCGGUGAUAAACCGGAGGAAGGUGGGGAUGACGUCAAGUCAUCAUGGCCCUUACGAGUAGGGCUACACACGUGCUACAAUGGCGCAUACAAAGAGAAGCGACCUCGCGAGAGCAAGCGGACCUCAUAAAGUGCGUCGUAGUCCGGAUUGGAGUCUGCAACUCGACUCCAUGAAGUCGGAAUCGCUAGUAAUCGUAAAUCAGAAUGUUACGGUGAAUACGUUCCCGGGCCUUGUACACACCGCCCGUCACACCAUGGGAGUGGGUUGCAAAAGAAGUAGAUAGCUUAACCUUCGGGAGGGCGUCUACCACUUUGUGAUUCAUGACUGGGGUGAAGUCGUAACAAGGUAAGCGUAGUGCU
rnacentral:rRNA from 1 species